CUAUAUAUCCUGGCUUCUCCCUCACCUCUUCAGAGCAGCCCCUCUAAGAGGCUGUAUCUUGGGCUACAGUGCUCACCCUCAAAGGAAAGAUCUACUGAAGAGAAGAGGUUCCUGAAACUUUGGCAAAGCAAGGGAUGCCUCUGCUCCUCUGGAUAGCAGACAACCCACAGAGAGACACAGGCUCAGCCAGCGGCUGCCCCCGGCAGUUCCACCCUGUUAUCCCAGCUCCAGAGGAAAGGAGAGGCAGGUACUAGGGUUGAAAUAGUUCUGGAUUUGACGGUGGAAGCAGAGAUUUGCAGUUCACUUCCAUUUGUGACAAAGUUAAAUCAUUCAACCCUUCUGAGCCUAGGAAAGGGAAUGAUGGAGCCUGCCUCCCACUCUCAGGGUGGCUGUGAGCCUCAGAUGUGCACAGGAGCCAGCAGAGAACAUCUGAAAAGCCAGGUUUUAGAACCGGGCAGGCUCACAUC
ensembl:lncRNA